rnacentral:rRNA from 1 species
UACGUAGGGACCAAGCGUUGUUCGGAUUUACUGGGCGUAAAGGGCGCGUAGGCGGCGCGGUAAGUCACUUUGUGAAAUCUCUGAGCUUAACUCAGAAACGGCCAAGUGAUACUGCAGUGCUAGAGUGUGGAAGGGGCAAUCGGAAUUCUUGGUGUAGCGGUGAAAUGCGUAGAGUAUCAAGAGGAACACCUGAGGUGAAGACGGGGUUGCUGGGCCAACACGUGACGCUGAGGCGCGAAAGCCAGGGGAGCAAACGGG